UGCCAGCCGCCGCGGUAAUACUGGGGGAGCGAGCGUUGUUCGGAAUCACUGGGCGUAAAGCGUGCGCAGGCGGAUUGGAAAGUCAGAAGUGAAAGCCCAGGGCUCAACCCUGGAACUGCUUUUGAAACUUCCUUUCUAGAGUAUGGUAGAGGUUGGGAGAAUUCCUAGUGUAGAGGUGAAAUUCGUAGAUAUUAGGAGGAAUACCAGUGGCGUAGGCGCCCAACUGGACCAUUACUGACGCUCAGGCACGAAAGCGUGGGGAGCAAACAGGAUUAGAUA
rnacentral:rRNA from 1 species